GAAUGAGUAAUUAAUAAUUAUUUAUGGAGUAUGAUGAGGAUCUAUAAUGAAGAUGUAAAAUAACUAAUAAGAAUUAUUAUGAAUAUAGAUUUUAUUGAUAUAACCUCGACGAAAAUUGUAGCGGCCUCAUUCAUCACUGCACAUUUCAUAUUAAUAUAUAUCACACCUUAGACGAGACUGCAGGUAGAUCCGGACAUAACUUAUUUUCCCAUAUAUCUAGAGCAUGAAGACCCGAACUUUGUCUGAACAUUGAAAACGUGGACUUAAAUACACCUCUGAAUAUUGGAUCUAAUGGAUCUUUACUCUUUUCUUUAUUUAUAUUUAGUAUUUACUACAUGAACGAUACAGUUUUUGACUAUUUAGAAUGAAUAAUUAUUUAUGGAAUAUGAUAAAGAUCUAAAUGAA
rnacentral:lncRNA from 1 species